GUCUCAUGCUACCCUAGUACUGACAGAUUCAGAUCAUUUAAACAUUCAAUAUUAAUAUCACCACAAACUCAAGAUAAGCAGAUGAUCCUGAAAAAGCUUUGACUGUGCGUAUGGCACCUCAGACAUGAGGGCUGCAGGGUAAGGAGUAUGUUUAUUUCUCUUUAGUUUCACAAGGUCCCCUUUUGGGGUAUUUGGCUUUCCAUCGAUGGCAGGUGGUCAGGCAUUAUUAUGGCCAUCAAAACACCCACUUGUUGAUAGUUAUUUAUUUAUUUUCAACAAGUAUCUUUGUUCUCUAAGAAUGGAGUUUCAAAAAGGGUUGUCAAGAUCAACAGAUGUUACUUCACAUGAUGCAGAGGCAGGCUUGAUUCUGGAAUGAUGAAUCCACGGGGUGAUCUCUGUAACUUUCACAGUGCACUACUCAGCAUGUGGUCUUGGUUAUCACUUUGGUGGCUGGAUAGGCCUCUGGCCAUCCUGAAAACAUGUCUGCUAUAAUUAGUGCAUAUUUGAAUCAGCCAUUCUUUGGCAUUCUGGUGACUUGACUCCUCUGGAAGAGAUAAUGAGGUUUGGCUAGAUGCUUGGGGCUUUCCUCCAUUCUUCUUGAGUUGCCCUUGGCACAAAUGGCACAAGAUUUACAGUAACUGUUGGUCAGAGAGGCAAUUCCUGGUACUUCAGAGUAUUUAUUGAUCAAAAGAGUUCAUGAGGGUUCUGGACAGAUGCUCCGUAGGCCCACUGGACCACUGCUGAGUAUAUGUUCUUGGGCAAGUAGAACUUGAGAUUGUUGAAGUACAGCCUGUCUUUAAGAGUUGCCCCUUUCUGUUUCCAGCUUGUGGUUUGUUUGUUUUUUCUUUCUUUCCAGGGUCAGUAGCUUGCUUGUUAUUCCUUCGGGAGCUUGAUGUCUGUGGGUAGGAUCUUACAUGGUGAAUAUGGGAGUUUCUUCAGCAGACACUUUUCUGUCCACUUCCCUUAGUACACUUACAACUUCU